GGGUGAAGCUUCCUGGCCAGGGAAGCUGGCAGGGGGCCAGCCAGGCCUGGAGAGUCACUUCUGUCUGGGCUGGGAAGGCCUCGAUGAAUCCUCUGCCUGACCACCCAUGGACGUCCGCUCUCUGGCGUGCCUGACAGAUGAGAGAAGGGAGCCACAGCCUGCGGGAAAGGAGCAUCUCAGCCUGAGAACCCACGGACCUGGGUCUAGGCUGUUGGGGAAGGAGAACAGAAGAAAGAGAAAAACACUGUUUCCCUCUUCAAACCAAAACAAACACACUCAGGGUUGAAGAUCCAACACGAAUCCGUGGAAUGCAGGGAGGAUAUCUGCGGGGAGAGUGCCACUGCUUGGAGGUGGGCAGGAGGAGACGCAGCCAGAGCUGGGACAAGUCCUCCUCUCUCUUCCACUGCCGCUAUCCUCAAGGCGUCAGAGGGAGCGUAUGGACAGCUCCAAACGCCCAGACUCACCCAUCACCUCACCCUCCAUCCGCCGAGCCAGCGGUUGAGAAGGCCAUCCAGUCUGGCUCUGCAGAGGGUGUGGCUGACGUGGCCGCAGACUACCAGCGAGGGUCGUCUCGGGAGCAAGAUGGAUGUGACUGGCGGAGCCGGGGGUGGGAUUUGUCCGGCCGCUUUCCUGCCUCUGCUGCUGCUGCUGAAAAGGCCAGCCCGCUGGAGAGACCUGGCGUUGGCGCAUCUGGGAACAGACGUCCGCGCGCGGCUGGCUGGAAUGCUGGACUCGCCUCCGCAGCGCUGUGACCGUAACAACGUGCAAACGGUGGGUUCUGCUGGGAGGUCAAGGAAGCUCCCUGGAGGAGGAGUAUCUGGACAACAGGGAAAGAAAGGAGCUGCAGAAGAAAGGCAGAAGAAUUGGGUCCUGGUUCAGCCCUCAUCUCACUCUCCCAGAGCCCCGGAGCACACCAGUGGACACCCUCACCCCUCUGGGGCAGAUCAGCACAGAGACGUGAAGCACACAGGCAGCUGCUGGAAAAAUAAUGAGGAAUUGCAAUGCUGUGCCCCUCAAUUGAGUGCAAGCUCUCUUCUGCCUUUUCACCUUGGGCAAGUUACCUUCCUGUUCCAGGCCUCAGUUUCCCCAUGUGUGAAAUGAAAGGGCUGGAGAGAAAUCUCUUACUAUUCCCCAAUCUGCAUUCAUUGUGUCCCAAGCCUUCUAAUAUCUGUUCAACAAAGUGUACCAAAUCUCAGCUAUUGGACUGAGACUCAGGUGUCUAUCUGACUUGAAUUGAAAAUGUAAAUUACUGAAGAGGGAGGGAGGGAGGGAGAGAGUGCUGAAGCUUGAAUGGGCUUAUCAGAUUUCCUUCUCCUGUGGCCCAGAUGCAGGCCUCGUCCAGGCGAUCCCCCUGGCUCAGAAUCUGCCAGGCUCAAGCAUUCAUUGACAGGCCAGGAUGUGGCCUCCUGUUCUGGAUGCUCUCAUAUUUAAACAGGCUAAACCCAUUUUGCAUUGUAUGUUAGGGGUGGUGCUUGUGGGAGAAAGGGGGCUGUCAGAACAUUCUGGCUGCUGCAUGAAGUUGACUUUGUCAGGAGAUACUGGGCUGUGGGAGAAGGCAGCUGGUGUAAUAAUUUGGCCAAGGGGUGGGUUGAGCAGGAGCAGGGGCCGAGGGAGGGAGAGAAGGAAUGGCUAAGGAAGGCCCAGGGACUGAUUUGACUGGGGCUUCAGGGACAGGUGUGGGGCGAGAGGGAUGCUGGGAGUGAAGGAGGGAAAGCACGGAGGCUUUUUGGGGAUUAAUAGGCAGUGAUCCCUAUGAGGGCAUGGUGAGUAGGACCCAAACAUCCAGGUACUUCCUGCCUGCCAGCCCUCUCUGUCUCUCUCUUCCUUUCCUACUGCCCAAGGCCUGGCCCUGCUGCACAUGCCCUGCCCUGGCCCCCAGAGUCCCCUUCUCUCCUGGCUGGGAGAUUAGGACUCUGCUGUGCCUACAGCAUUCUCAACCUCAAGUCAAGGUGGCCCUUUGGUGCCCAGGAGGCCACAUGGCUGAGUCAGGGCUGAGUCACCAGUCCCCAAGGGCCUUGCCAUUUCCUGUGGAGAAGCCUCUUUACUGGCAGGGUUCUGUGCUCAGGUGGGAAAUCUGGGGAGGUCGGGGGCAGGGCUUCAUCUACUUUCACCCACUAACUUCCUAGACACUCCACUGGGGGUAGAGGGUUCCUAAAUGUAUGAUGAUCAAAACAUGCCCUUAUGUAUUCACAGGUGUUUGCCUAUGCAACUGCAUGUCUGAAUGUUUUAUGUGUAUUUUAAUAUAGAUAGGGAACAAAUAUGUAUUAAGCACAUACUAUGUGUGCAGCCUUUUAUGUAUGUUACUUUCUAAUAACCCUAGGAGGUAUAGAUGCCUCCCUGGCUAUAGUUGAAAAUACUGACAUGCCCAAGGUGCAGGAGAUAUGAAUACCUCCCCAGUGUGGCUGGUAACACCCCUAGGGUUCUCCGACUCCACAAUGAUGGGCUUUCCUCCAGAGUCAGCUCCUCAGGGGCAGGAGUGAGAAGUGUAUCUGUAUUUAUCCUUCCGCCAGUGGCUGGGAUUGGUCCUGUGGUUGGAAACAGGGUCAGUAAGGCCCUUGGGAGUAGCUGGGUGAAUGGAUGAUGGUAGUGUUCAUCUUGGACAUGGCACAUACUUCUGGCUGGGUCAAUCCAUGUGGCUGGCCAACCUGGACCUGCUCUAUUCGGGGCCAUCGUCCUCAUGGCUCAUCAGUGCUGAGUUUCAUUGCCUUCUUCAUAAUGCAAUACUAAUGGACACAGGAAUGUAUCUGCUGCCGUACACUAGAUGAAACAUGGUUAUUUGCUCAGGUAGAAAUGAAGACUAAAAUACCAAA